UGAUCCUGGCUCAGGAUGAAUGCUAGCGGAGGGCCUAACACAUGCAAGUCGAACGUAUUUAUUUACGUGGCAAACGGGUGCGUAACACGUGCUUACCUGCCUUGGAGUGGGGGAUAACAUCGGAAACGGUGAUAAUCCGCCAUAAUCCCUACGGGGGAAAGAUUUAUCGCUCUAAGAGGGGGGCGCGGCCUACUAGCUAGUUGGUAAGGUAAUGGCUUACCAAGGCUUUGAUGGGUAGCUGGUCUGAGAGGAUGAUCAGCCACAAUGGAACUGAGACACGGUCCAUACCCCUACGGGGGGCAGCAGUGGGGAAUAUUGCACAAUGGACGAAAGUCUGAUGCAGCCACUCCGCGUGGAGGAUGAAGCAUUACGGUGUGUAAACUCCUUUUCUGGAGGAAGACGAAUGACGGUACUCCAGGAAUAAGCGACGGCUAACUACGUGCCAGCAGCCGCGGUAAUACGUAGGUCGCAAGCAUUAUCCGGAUUCACUGGGCGUAAAGCGUCCGCAGCCGGUUUAGUAAGUCUGAUUUCAAAUACCAGGGCUCAACCUUGGAAAGGGAUCAGAUACUGCUAUACUAGAGAAAAACAGAGGUUAGUAGAAUUUCCAGUGGAGGAGUGAAAUCCGUUGAUAUUGGAAGGAAUACCAAAAGCGAAGGCAGCUAACUAUGUUUCUUCUGACGGUCAGGGACGAAAGUUUGGGUAGCAAACGGGAUUAGAUACCCCGGUAGU
rnacentral:rRNA from 1 species